rnacentral:rRNA from 1 species
CCUACGGGGGGCAGCAGUGGGGGAUAUUGCACAAUGGGGGAAACCCUGAUGCAGCGACGCCGCGUGGGUGAAGAAGCGCCUCGGCGCGUAAAGCCCUGUCAGCAGGGAAGAAAAUGACGGUACCUGAAGAAGAAGCCCCGGCUAACUACGUGCCAGCAGCCGCGGUAAUACGGAGGGGGCAAGCGUUAUCCGGAUUUACUGGGUGUAAAGGGGGCGCAGACGGCGAUGCAAGCCAGGAGUGAAAGCCCAGGGCCCAACCCCGGGACUGCUCUUGGAACUGCGUGGCUAGAGUGCAGGAGGGGCAGGCGGAAUUCCUGGUGUAGCGGUGAAAUGCGUAGAUAUCAGGAGGAACACCGGUGGCGAAGGCGGCCUGCUGGACGGCAACUGACGUUGAGGCCCGAAAGCGUGGGGAGCAAACAGGAUUAGAUACCCUUGUAGUC